rnacentral:lncRNA from 10 species
GGAGCUUGGUGCGGAGGGCAGUGCUUCCUAUGAGAAAAAGUCCAGUGGUCAAUCUUUUGGGAAGGAGCUGGUGGGAUGAGGGGGCAGCUGGACUGACCUGAGUGCUGUUGUACUGUCUGACCAUCUCCUUUGUAAACAGACGCUCCACACUCAUGCUCAGAGCAGCAUUAUUCACAGCAGCCAGGAGGGGGACGUCGCCCAGGUGUUCCUCGGUGGAUGAAUGGAUAAAGAAAAUGUAAACACACAGUGGAAUCUUACUCAGCCUUGAAAAGGAAGGAAAGUCCAUCCAACACAUGCUACUGCAUGGACGAACUUUGGACAGUGAGCUAAGUGAAAGGAGACAGUCACAAAAGGACAAAUACCAGAUGAUCCCACCUGCGCGAGAUGAUUUGGGAGGACAGCCAUUCUCAUCGGUAUAAUGAACGUAUUGUAAGCUGUGACUUUUACAAAGUCUGAGGGAAACCAAUCUGCAAUCUUGACAGAUACGAUCUUUCCAGAUGCACUGUUCGUUUACGGCGGCAAGAGAGCUCAAUUAAUUUCUGAGGGAGGACGGCAGGAUGCGACCCCUUGUGCGUGGCCUAGGAGGAACUGUCCCUGUGUGAAUUUAUGUUCUGGUAAUUUAAAAAGAUUUAUAUUAAGCUUUUCUUUCAUUUUGAGAGUAGAUUAAAA